UUAGAGAAAGUACAGAAAAAAAAACACUUUCAGCGUUUCUUCACGUGCAGCACGACAUAAAACACCCCUUUCAACACGUAUCAGCCGAGCAUCUUGGGUUCGUUAUAAGAAUGACGGUCAUAUCUAACUGCUCGUUCCAGCAAGAGUUGACGGUGGUAGGCCUAACAUGCAUGUCUUUGCUUUUGAAAGCUGGAGAAAAUAAUUAUAAUGGAAAGUAUUGGGCAGGACCACCUAGUAUCGUCUUUCUACUUCUUUUAUCGUUUGGAUAUUUCGUAACCACCUUGGUAAUGUUGAUAACAUCUUUGUUGUCCAUGACGUCAUCUCCCCUUUUCCAGAACACACUUUUUUUUCUUGGAUACCACGGGCUAGGAUUCAUAAUGUACCUAAGUGGUGGACUAGCUUUACUAAUAAAAAGUACGACCGGUAAGUUCCAGAGAAGAGGGACUGUAAUUGCUGCAGCGGGUUAUGUACCUAAACUAACAUGUUACCUAUAGUAUCAUGU